rnacentral:rRNA from 1 species
AAUUCGCCCUUAGAGUUUGAUCCUGGCUCAGGACGAACGCUGGCGGCGUGCUUAACACAUGCAAGUCGAACGGAGCACCCCUGAAGGAGUUUUCGGACAACGGAUGGGAAUGCUUAGUGGCGGACUGGUGAGUAACGCGUGAGGAACCUGCCUUCCAGAGGGGGACAACAGUUGGAAACGACUGCUAAUACCGCAUGAUGCGUUGGAGCCGCAUGACUCCGACGUCAAAGAUUUAUCGCUGGAAGAUGGCCUCGCGUCUGAUUAGCUAGUUGGUGAGGUAACGGCCCACCAAGGCGACGAUCAGUAGCCGGACUGAGAGGUUGGCCGGCCACAUUGGGACUGAGAUACGGCCCAGACUCCUACGGGAGGCAGCAGUGGGGAAUAUUGGGCAAUGGACGCAAGUCUGACCCAGCAACGCCGCGUGAAGGAAGAAGGCUUUCGGGUUGUAAACUUCUUUUAAGGGGGAAGAGCAGAAGACGGUACCCCUUGAAUAAGCCACGGCUAACUACGUGCCAGCAGCCGCGGUAAUACGUAGGUGGCAAGCGUUGUUCGGAUUUACUGGGUGUAAAGGGCGUGCAGCCGGAGAGACAAGUCAGAUGUGAAAUCCACGGGCUCAACCCGUGAACUGCAUUUGAAACUGUUUCCCUUGAGUG